UGAAUACGAGACGCUACGGCGUCGAAGCAGUCUAUGUCAUACUUCCAAGAAAAGCUCGCAAUGUCAUAAACAAAUAAUGCCUGUACCAUAACCGACACAGGUGGGUAGGUAGAGUAUACUAAGGGGCGCGAGAUAACUCUCUCUAAGGAACUCGGCAAAAUGACUCCGUAACUUCGGGAGAAGGAGUGCCUUAUUUAUAAGGUUGCAAUAACAAGAUCCAAGCAACUGUUUAUCAAAAGCACAGGUCUCCGCUAAGUCGUAAGACGAUGUAUGGGGGCUGACGCCUGCCCAGUGCCAGAAGGUUAAAGAAGUUGGUUAGCAUUCGCGAAGCUGAUAACUGAAGCCCUGGUGAACGGCGGCCGUAACAAUAACGGUCCUAAGGUAGCGAAAUUCCUUGUCGGGUAAGUUCCGACCCGCACGAAAGGCGUAAUGAUUUGGAUACUGUCUCGGAGAGGGGCUCGGUGAAAUAGACUUGUCUGUGAAGAUGCGGACUACCUGCACCUGGACAGAAAGACCCUAUGAAGCUUUACUGUAACUUGAAAUUGAAAUUGGACUUUAUUUGCGCAGCAUAGGUGGAGGCGUUGAGAGUAUUCUUGCGGGAAUAUUGGAGCCAUCAGUGAGAUACCACUCUUGUAAUGUUAGAUUUCUAACUUUGUAUCCUAGUCGGGUCAAAGAACAGUUUCAGGCGGGCAGUUUGACUGGGGCGGUCGCCUCCCAAACGGUAACGGAGGCGUACAAAGGUUUCCUCUGAACGGGUAGAAAUCGUAUCUAGAGUGUAAAGGCAUAAGGAAGCUUGACUGUGAGACCUACAAGUCGAGCAGGGACGAAAGUCGGUCUUAGUGAUCUGACGGUGCUGAGUGGAAAGGCCGUCACUCAACGGAUAAAAGUUACUCUAAGGAUAACAGGCUGAUCUCCCCCAAGAGUUCACAUCGACGGGGAGGUUUGGCACCUCGAUGUCGGCUCAUCGCAUCCUGGGGCGGUAGUACGUCCCAAGGGUUGGGCUGUUCGCCCAUGAAAGCGGUACGCGAGCUGGGUUCAGAACGUCGUGAGACAGUUCGGUCCAUAUCCGGUGUAGGCGUUAGAAUAUUGAGAGGAGCCUUCUUUAGUACGAGAGGACCGAGAAGGACAUACCUCUGGUGUACCAGUUAUCGUGCCAACGGUAAACGCUGGGUAGCUAUGUAUGGAGAGGAUAACCGCUGAAAGCAUCUAAGUGGGAAGCCCACCUCAAGAUAAGUAUUCCC
rnacentral:rRNA from 1 species